UGGUUGUUGUUGGUAAUACGGUGGUGGUGGUUAUUGUUGGUAAUAUUGUGGUGGUUGUUGUUGUUGGUAAUAUUGUGGUGUUUGUUGUUGUUGGUAAUAUUGUGGUGUUUGUUGUUGUUGGGAAUAUUGUGGUGGUUGUUGUUGUUGGAAAUAUGGUUGUUGCAUUCGGGGAUCGUCCAAAUAGAACGGGUCAGACACAAU
rnacentral:lncRNA from 1 species